GGAAAAAAUUAUUGGCUCAACCCCUCCCUGACGAGGAAGAAAACAACCUGAAACCAGAGGACUUUGAAAUCCUGGUCAUUGAAAUGGACUAUGGCAUGGACGACAAGGACCCUAUCCAACAUGUUCAUUUCUACAGCAAAUCUGAGCUUGACGUGGCAAAGCCAAUGCCCGAAGAAAAGGGAUCCAGGAUUCGCACAACGUGCUUUUCUGAGCAGCUGAUCAGGGUCUUCUGUAAGGAGAUUGAUGACGAGAGUGUGGAGGCUGCCAAAAAGCACUUUAAAC